CAGACUCUUUUUCACUGCCAGUUUGUACCCCUGAACGGUGUGGGUCCUGCUAGGGCCUCUGGACAUCAAUGUAAUAUAUAUAUAAAAAAACACUCUGAGCAAUCCGGUUAACCACUUUGCUACUGCCCAUAGCCAUUGUGUGAAAAUCUAUGAAAUUCUCACAUUCACUGGAACACUAGUAACACAAUGUGCAUUUUGCCAUAUGUUAGUUCUCCAUGGAGUUUGAUAUGAUCUACUUUCAUUAACAGCAUGGAACAUACACAUUCCUGCUAAAAUGAUGCAUCACAUCAGGAGAAGAAAGCACAUUAGGUUUGACUAUGUCUACUGUACUGGUAAUGCAAGGAUUAGCUUUCCCUAAGGAAAAGAUGGCGUUACUGAGAUAAGCACUAGUCACUGGUAUGUGUGGGUAAAUAUGGCAGGUGAAUAGAGCUGGGGUAGGUCGGGGUUUGGCAAAUGAAAAGAACUUGGGUGGGUAGGUAAGAAUUCAUCCCACAGAAGUUGGCAACCCUAGUUCAGCAGCCGGAAGGAAAAGGUGGGGGAGAGAUAGGUGGGCUGGGCAGCUGGAAGGAGCGGGUGUGUGUGUGGAGAGAUAGGUGGGCUGGGCAGCUGGAAGAAGCGAGGAAGCGGGAGGAGGGCAGAAGCUUGGCACUGGGGGUAGGUGGGUUUGGCAGGGGAGACAGCCAGUGCGUGGUGUGCGGGGGGCCCCAUCACUGGUGGACCCUGGGCAGGGCGUGUUCCGGAGCAGGGGGCACAGCCAGUCUGAAGAUGCGGGACUCAUCGCUGGCAAAGCGGAGGUCCAGGCCGGGCCCAUCGCAGGCAGCCUUAGGACGGAGACGUGGUGGCAGUGGGCGGGGCGGGGCCGGGCCGGGCUAAGCCAGGGGGCGCGGGGUCCCGGUCGGCAGAGCGAGGCAGGGGAGGGCUGGCAGAGGCCGAGCGUGGCACGGACCACGAGGCCCGAGCACAGGGAGGGCAGGGCCCCAAACAGACACACACACCGGCCGAGCCGAGCAGGCCGCGCCCGAGCCCUCCGCCCCUGCCUGAGAAGAGAAGUCACCGUACCCGUCCGCAGGGCGGAGCGGCCCGCGCCGCGCGCUGACACCAGCCACACGAGAGUCGCGGCCCGCGCCGAGCGGCAGGGGCGAAGCAGCCGCAGGGCGAAGGCGGGGCUCCCAACGGAACAAGCUGCCGCGGGACAUGAGUGAUCGCGCUCUAGCCGGGUGGGCGGGACCAUGACACUGUACCAAUGCUGUUAUUGAAUUGAAGCUGGUGUGAGUGUUGCCACUGAUUCUCAGCACCCUGCUUUUCUUCUCUCUCUGUUUGGACAGGAGAAAGCCUGCCAGUUUUCCUGUUUGACUUUGGGCAUGUAUAUCGCUUGGGCAGGCUCUCUUUGGAAUCUGUCAUACCACUUCUGAACUGAUGAAAGAUUUUUUUCCUCUCAGGGACGUAGUAUGCAGACUUUUCCACAUCCUUAGCAUGGGAAGUAAACACCAGCUUGCUAAAUGGCGGUGCAGAGGUACAGAGUGUUCCCCACAUGACCAUUGUGCCAUAUACAAUGGCUGAAUAUAACGUAACUGAAUGAUAUGCUGUACAU